rnacentral:rRNA from 1 species
UACCAACACAUUGACAUCCCUGGCAAAGCUAUAGAAAUAUAGUGGAGGUUAUCCAGGUGACAGGUGGUGCAUGGUUGUCGUCAGCUCGUGUCGUGAGAUGUUCGGUUAAGUCCGCUAACGAGCGCAACCCUUGUCAUUAGUUACUAACAUUAAGUUGAGAACUCUAAUGAGACUGCCGAUACUAAAUCGGAGGAAGGUGGGGAUGACGUCAAAUCAUCAUGCCCCUUACGUCUUGGGCAACAGGCGUGCUACAAUGGCUGGUACAAUGAGCUGCAAACCCGCGAGGGGGAGCCAAUCUAAAAAGCCAGUCGUAGUUCGGAUUGAAGUCUGCAACUCGACUUCAUGAAGCUGAAAUCGCUAGUAAUCCUGGAUCAGAAUGCCAGGGUGAAUACGUUCUCGGGUGUUGUUACACACCGCCCGU